rnacentral:rRNA from 1 species
UGGGGAAUAUUGCACAAUGGGCGAAAGCCUGAUGCAGCGACGCCGCGUGAGGGAUGACGGCCUUCGGGUUGUAAACCUCUUUCAGCAGGGACGAAGCGCAAGUGACGGUACCUGCAGAAGAAGCACCGGCUAACUACGUGCCAGCAGCCGCGGUAAUACGUAGGGUGCAAGCGUUGUCCGGAAUUACUGGGAGUAAAGAGUUCGUAGGCGGUUUGUCGCGUCGUUUGUGAAAACCAGCAGCUCAACUGCUGGCUUGCAGGCGAUACGGGCAGACUUGAGUACUGCAGGGGAGACUGGAAUUCCUGGUGUAGCGGUGAAAUGCGCAGAUAUCAGGAGGAACACCGGUGGCGAAGGCGGGUCUCUGGGCAGUAACUGACGCUGAGGAACGAAAGCGUGGGUAGCGAACAGG